GACAGUUCUUGGUCAACGAGCAUGGCCAGAUAACGAAAUUGGAUAUACGCACUGUCAUUGGCCAAUACCCCAUCACGUGUUCGGCCGUUUCACUCCCCUCUUUAUUUUUUAUUUUUUCUCCGCCUUAUUUUAAAUUUCGGAUCUUUCUCGGUCGCCCUUCGGAGUAUCAUCGUGUAACAUAAAUUAAUGUCAAAGAUAACAUAAAUUAUCGCGCCUGCGAUAAGCUAAUAAUAU